CCAGCGGAGGGAUCAUUACCGAGUUUACAACUCCCAAACCCAAUGUGAACGUUACCAAACUGUUGCCUCGGCGGGGUCACGCCCCGGGUGCGUCGCAGCCCCGGAACCAGGCGCCCGCCGGAGGAACCAACCAAACUCUUUCUGUAGUCCCCUCGCGGACGUAUUUCUUACAGCUCUGAGCAAAAAUUCAAAAUGAAUCAAAACUUUCAACAACGGAUCUCUUGGUUCUGGCAUCGAUGAAGAACGCAGCGAAAUGCGAUAAGUAAUGUGAAUUGCAGAAUUCAGUGAAUCAUCGAAUCUUUGAACGCACAUUGCGCCCGCCAGUAUUCUGGCGGGCAUGCCUGUCCGAGCGUCAUUUCAACCCUCGAACCCCUCCGGGGGAUCGGCGUUGGGGAUCGGGACCCCUCACACGGGUGCCGGCCCCGAAAUACAGUGGCGGUCUCGCCGCAGCCUCUCCUGCGCAGUAGUUUGCACAACUCGCACCGGGAGCGCGGCGCGUCCACGUCCGUAAAACACCCAACUUUCUGAAAUGUUGACCUCGGAUCAGGUAGGAAUACCCGCUGAACUUAAGCAUAUCAAUAAGCGGAGGAAAAGAAACCAACAGGG
rnacentral:rRNA from 1 species